rnacentral:rRNA from 1 species
UACGAAGGGGGCUAGCGUUGUUCGGAUUUACUGGGCGUAAAGCGCACGUAGGCGGAUUGGUCAGUUAGGGGUGAAAUCCUGGAGCUCAACUCCAGAACUGCCUUUGAUACUGGCAAUCUCGAGUCCGGGAGAGGUGAGUGGAACUGCGAGUGUAGAGGUGAAAUUCGUAGAUAUUCGCAAGAACACCAGUGGCGAAGGCGGCUCACUGGCCCGGUACUGACGCUGAGGUGCGAAAGCGUGGGGAGCAAACAGGG